rnacentral:rRNA from 1 species
AGUGAACGCUGGCGGUAGACCUAACACAUGCAAGUCGAACGGCAGCACAGUAAGAGCUUGCUCUUACGGGUGGCGAGUGGCGGACGGGUGAGGAAUACAUCGGAAUCUACUUUUUCGUGGGGGAUAACGUAGGGAAACUUACGCUAAUACCGCAUACGACCUACGGGUGAAAGCAGGGGAUCUUCGGACCUUGCGCGAUUGAAUGAGCCGAUGUCGGAUUAGCUAGUUGGCGGGGUAAAGGCCCACCAAGGCGACGAUCCGUAGCUGGUCUGAGAGGAUGAUCAGCCACACUGGAACUGAGACACGGUCCAGACUCCUACGGGAGGCAGCAGUGGGGAAUAUUGGACAAUGGGCGCAAGCCUGAUCCAGCCAUACCGCGUGGGUGAAGAAGGCCUUCGGGUUGUAAAGCCCUUUUGUUGGGAAAGAAAAGCAGCAGGUUAAUACCCCGCUGUUCUGACGGUACCCAAAGAAAAAGCACCGGCUAACUUCGUG